UGUCUUGGCUUAGUCAAAUAAACUCCAUUCAAUUCAACAAAAAAAGUACAAGUAGAUUUUUUCCCCAUAAUUUCAUUGAGUACAUUCCACAAUUUCUUACAAUCUGUACCACUAUCGUCAAUUCUCUUCUGAAAAUAUUUUUUUCUUUUUCACUCUGUUCACCUUGGUCACAUGAUUCCUUAAAGGAACCGUGUGUAGGAUUGUGGCCUAAACUGGUACUGCAGUCACUAUAAAAAUACUGCAGAGCGGUGUAUCCCCUCCCCCUCCCCCCUGACUCGAGGUUGCCAGAUAAGCUGCAGGAUUCAGCAGAAACGUAGGCUGCUUCAUCGAGCUUCCAAUGGCAGCCUGAUUUAGACCUCAGUUAUGAGGUGCCCGCUGACCUAAGUGAGGCUGAUGAGAGCUGGGAAGGCGAGAGGAGGCGCAGACAAAGGAAAAGAAGAGCAAAGGGGAGAGGGACAAGAGUAGAGCGUGCAGGUCUUGGUCCAGGAGACAAAGAGCAGAGAGAAGGAGAGAAUUUAGAGGGAGGAGAUGGACCAGGUGGAAGAGGCCAGAGAGCUGGAAGAGAGAGUGCAGAUGUUUCAGGUGGAAAAGGAGAGAGUGUGGGCCCUGCACCAGGUGACAGAGGCCAGAGAGGUGGAAGAGGUCAGAGAGGUGGAAGAGGAGAUAAUGCAGGUCCAAGUACUGGAGUUGGCAGCAGAGGAAGGAAAGGGAAAGGAGGCAGAGAUGCAGAGGAAGAGAACAGAGUUCAGAUGAUCCAAAUUGACCGAAGGGUCCGGACAGAGGCACUCAUUCAGGGCAUGAGUGAAGUGAGGCUACGAGCACUAGCAACCCAGGUCUUCUCCCGGAAUCCUGGAUUAGUUUUUGAUGCACUUCCUCAAUUGGACAGCACAACCCCACCUAACGCUGCUCUUCCAUGGUGCACCUGUGGGCACUGCAGGGAAAUGGCCACAGACGCUGAAAGGAAAUGCUGUGGCCAGGGGCCUGACUACUGCAUCAGCAAAUUGGCACAUUUUGAUCUGUAUUGUCUGGAAGAUGGUUAUUUGCGUAUUCACAGAGAUUACAGAAAUGAUAUGUUGGUGGUAGCUGAAGUUAUAGAGCCAGGAGAUGAUAACAGACAAUUUAGGUAUGCUGCUUAUCGUCAAUACAUCUUUUGGCAGCAUGGGUCACUGGGUCUGGGUAACCGUCGUGUUAUUCCCAGCUGCUGUAUAUGGAAAAUAAGGGACAAAUACCCUGACCCCCAAGGCCAGUACACUGGCUUUGUACCCACCAUUUGAUACCAUUCUAACGUGAACAGUUAAAUUCAAGUUAUUUAUUGUUGUAUAUAUAGUUUUACUAAUUGUUUUUUGAUUUGUUCAGUUUUUUGGUUUGUUUGUUUGUAAAGAGCCUUCCUCAUUUUUUCAAUAAAAAAAGUUUAUUUAUAAUAACAAUACUAUGCUUUUUACAAUGUAGAGAAACAGUAUAUAAAAUGGUAUAAUGAUAAAUGUUACACAGUAUAAAUAGAAAACUAGACUCAGCUGCUCUGUACUGUUAAAAUUUUAGUCUGAAAUUGUUGAUAAGCAGCUUGUGACACAAAAGUUUACAUGGCCAUGAAGAUGGUCAGGGUUGUGAGGCUCUGGAAACUGGGCUUCACAGGUCUUUAGUCUGGAAUGUUGACACUGAGGAGAGCAAAAUACAACCUGAAGUUAGUUUAUUUCAAACUUGGAAUUGUUAUGCAUAACAUCUGACUUGGUGUGUGGCAUGUAGCCCAAGGUGCAAAAUAAAUAAAUUUGCAUUCAACCU